rnacentral:rRNA from 1 species
AUGAACGCUGGCGGCGUGCCUAAUACCUGCAAGUCGAGCGAACGGACGAGAAGCUUGCUUCUCUGAUGUUAGCGGCGGACGGGUGAGUAACACGUGGAUAACCUACCUAUAAGGCUGGGAUAACUUCGGGAAACCGGAGCUAAUACCGGAUGAUAUUUUGAACCGCAUGGUUCAAAAGUGAAAGACGGUCUUGCUGUCACUUAUAGAUGGAUCCGCGCUGCAUUAGCUAGUUGGUAAGGUAACGGCUUACCAAGGCAACGAUGCAUAGCCGACCUGAGAGGGUGAUCGGCCACACUGGAACUGAGACACGGUCCAGACUCCUACGGGAGGCAGCAGUAGGGAAUCUUCCGCAAUGGGCGAAAGCCUGACGGAGCAACGCCGCGUGAGUGAUGAAGGUCUUCGGAUCGUAAAACUCUGUUAUUAGGGAAGAACAUAUGUGUAAGUAACUGUGCACAUCUUGACGGUACCUAAUCAGAAAGCCACGGCUAACUACGUG